ensembl:lncRNA
AUGAAUAUUACAUCCCCCUUCUUUUAAAACAAAAUGUUUACAUAUUCUAAGCGUUUCUUUUGAAUACAUGCUCUGCAGUUUGAACUCAAGGGCAGCGAUCUGCCUACACCCUUUGACAUUUCACAGGUCUGGGACAGACCUGGGCUUGACCUCUCUUCCUGACAUUCUGCGAUAUGAUGCUGAGCAUGCUUCUGUGUCAGUCAACAGCUCUUGUGUUGUUGCAGGCCAUCCAUCCUGUAUGACUUUACUCACAUGUGCGAGUUGUGAGUCCUUUUCUGUUUCUGCUUGGAUCUCCUUCAGUUUUGUGUCACUAACUGGUAAUUUGCUGUACACAGUGUGCACAUGCA